rnacentral:rRNA from 1 species
UUCGGGCCUUGGUAGCGCAGCUAACGCGUGAAGUUGACCGCCUGGGGAGUACGGUCGCAAGAUUAAAACUCAAAGGAAUUGACGGGGACCCGCACAAGCGGUGGAUGAUGUGGAUUAAUUCGAUGCAACGCGAAAAACCUUACCUACCCUUGACAUGUCUGGAAUGCCGAAGAGAUUUGGCAGUGCUCGCAAGAGAACCGGAACACAGGUGCUGCAUGGCUGUCGUCAGCUCGUGUCGUGAGAUGUUGGGUUAAGUCCCGCAACGAGCGCAACCCUUGUCAUUAGUUGCUACGAAAGGGCACUCUAAUGAGACUGCCGGUGACAAACCGGAGGAAGGUGGGGAUGACGUCAAGUCCUCAUGGCCCUUAUGGGUAGGGCUUCACACGUCAUACAAUGGUCGGGACAGAGGGUCGCCAACCCGCGAGGGGGAGCCAAUCCCAGAAACCCGAUCGUAGUCCGGAUCGCAGUCUGCAACUCGACUGCGUGAAGUCGGAAUCGCUAGUAAUCGCGGAUCAGCAUGUCGCGGUGAAUACGUUC